rnacentral:lncRNA from 1 species
AUACAAACAUAAGUAUCUUCCCAAUCCAUUGCAACAACUCCAGUAUAUCUUUCUUCUUCAACUAAAAUUAUUACGCUAUUUGUAUAUCUGCUCCUACUAUGGAUGCAUUAUCAGUAGAUAUGUUAAGAUCUUCCAGUACUGCAAUCAUUGAUUUUAGUAAUGACAUAUGUGGAGGAUAAUAUAUUACAUGUUUAUAAAAGCUUGACUUUUUUGCUAUAUAUACAUCAGGUUUAUAAUUUACUAACUGUGGAAGUAGCUUUGAUAGUUUAAUUCUAUCAUGUAGAAGCUUUUGUGAAAAAAGUUCCAUUGUAUAAUACUAAAAAAGAAACAAGUAAGUAAAUGUAUUAGAAGAUAUUAAUACAAAAUUUUUAAUUUAGUUAUAA